CCUAUCUGGUUGAUCCUGCCAGUAGUGAUAUGCUUGUCUCAAAGAUUAAGCCAUGCAUGUCUGAGUACAGACCGAUCUAAGGUGAAACCGCGAAUGGCUCAUUAAAUCAGUCAUAAUUCCUUGGAUAGUGAAAAACUUCCUCGGAUAACUGUGGAAAAUCCAGAGCUAAUACGUGCAACUGAGCUCCGACCUCGGCGUGAGCCUUGGGAAGAGCGCAUUUAUUAGAUUCAAAACUGACCGGUGUACUCCUGCGGGAUGCGCCGUUUGUCGAAAGUUUGAUGACUCCGGAUAACUUAGCCGAGCGCUACGGUCCUAGUACCGGCGCCGUAUCUUUCAAGUGUCUGCCUUAUCAGCUUUCGAUUGUAGGUUAAAUGCCUACAAUGGCUGUAACGGGUAACGGGGAAUCAGGGUUCGAUUCCGGAGAGGGAGCCUGAGAAACGGCUACCACAUCUAAGGAAGGCAGCAGGCACGCAAAUUACCCACUCCCAGCCCGGGGAUGUAGUGACGAAAAAUAACGAUGCGAGACUCUUCCGAGGCCUCGCAAUCGGAAUGAGUCCAUCUUAAAUCUUUGGACGAGGAUCCAUUGGAGGGCAAGUCUGGUGCCAGCAGCCGCGGUAAUUCCAGCUCCAAUAGCGUAUAUUAAAGUUGCUGCGGUUAAAAAGCUCGUAGUUGGACUUCCUAGAUCCAAUUCGCGAGCGAGUCGCUCGUUGAGCUAGCUCUACGCGCCAGUCACUCGAUGACGUUGCGUUGGUGCGCUCCCUGCUGCGGCGUUCGGCGCGAGAUUGAUGUGGGGCUCGAGUAUUGGCGCGCGUUUACUCGUGUGCUGACUACCCGUGGUCUCUCUCUUUCUUUGUGUUCGGGCUGUCGUUUGGGAUGUCGUAUUUCCUCGCUCGGAAUCUUGCGGACGGCGUGGGGUUGUCUUCGAGUAUUGCUCGUUCGCGUUUGGUACAAUUAAAAUUUGGUCGGCUCGCUCGGAGUGCUCUUUACCGAGUGUUCCAGGGUGGCCGACACGUUCACUUUGAAAAAAUUAGAGUGCUUAACGCGGGCUCAUACGUGGCCUGAAUGUCUGUGCAUGGAAUGAAGUAACAGGACCUCGAUUCUGUUUUUUUUGUCGGUUUUAUUGAACCGAGGUAAUGAUUAAAAGGGACAGACGGUGGCAUUAGUAUUGCGGCGCUAGAGGUGAAAUUCUUGGACCGCUGCAAGACUAACUACUGCGAAAGCAUUUGCCGAGAAUGUUUUCAUUAAUCAAGAACGAAAGUUAGAGGAUCGAAGGCGAUCAGAUACCGCCCUAGUUCUAACCCUAAACUAUGCUAACUAGCGAUCCGCCGGAGUCAUUCCCACGACUCGGCGGGAAGCCCCAGGGAAACCAAAGUCUUUGAGUUCCGGGGGAAGUAUGGUUGCAAAGCUGAAACUUAAAGGAAUUGACGGAAGGGCACCACCAGGAGUGGAGCCUGCGGCUUAAUUUGACUCAACACGGGAAACCUCACCAGGCCCGGACAUCAUAAGGAUUGACAGGUUGAGAGCUCUUUCUCGAUUUGAUGGGUGGUGGUGCAUGGCCGUUCUUAGUUGGUGGAGUGAUCUGUCUGGUUGAUUCCGAUAACGAACGAGACUCUACCCUACUAACUAGUCGGCGGAUCGUAACCCUGAGAUGGUUAGUUGGUAUAGGUCGGUAUGUCGGAGACGUGAGUUGUUGUUUCUUUCGUCCCGGUGAUUAGCGUUAGUGCGUUGGGCUGCGUGCGUGUGUCUGUUGUGUCUUCGGAUGCGGCAGUGCGCGCGUGCGUGGUUUGCGUGCGAAUCGCGUUAUCGGGCGGGAGCAGCGGCUUCGUCGAAGCUGCCUUCUGAUUGCCGCUACUGCUGGGGGCGUCCGUCGCAAUGUAUCUUCUUAGAGGGAUCAGCGGCGUAUAGCCGCACGAGAAAGAGCAAUAACAGGUCUGUGAUGCCCUUAGAUGUUCUGGGCCGCACGCGCGCUACAAUGUAGAGACCAGCGUGCUUUCCCCCUCCGAAAGGAACGGGUAACCCGUUGAAAGCCCUACCCGAUUGGGAUUGGGGAUUGCAAAUAUUUCCCAUAAACGAGGAAUUCCCAGCAAGCGCGAGUCAUUAAGUCGCGCUGAUUACGUCCCUGCCCUUUGUACACACCGCCCGUCGCUACUACCGAUUGAAUGAUUCAGUGAGGGCAUCGGACUGGCGGCUUCGGUUUAGUAACAUAGACCUUAGGCUGACGGAAAGUUGUCCGAACUUGAUCAUUUAGAGGAAGUAAAAGUCGUAACAAGGUUUCCGUAGGUGAACCUGCGGAAGGAUCAUUA
rnacentral:rRNA from 1 species